ACAACAUUUGCUUACAAUUUUUCCUUUACAAAUUAGAAUGGAUUCAAGACUAUCCCUAUUGUAACCCCAGGCUUACUUUCAUUCCAGCAUGCUUUCUUAUGUGGGAGGGUAAUGGAGUAUCCUAGUAUAUGUAGCAUCCUAGUAACCCUACAAAAUCUCAGGUUGAUUUUGUUUGUGUUUCAGGCCAUUAUAUAGGCUGCACUUGGAAAAUGUGUUCCAUAUGUGAACCUCAUCUGUCACGUGAAUGUGUAGCAGGGGUGAGAUUGAAACCUCUUGAAUUCCUGUGAGAACUGACGUGACUUCUAGUGGAGAGAAAUCAAAGAUCAGGAGUGGGGUGCAAAUAAGCAGGUAUACCUCUGCUCUUCUAAUUCAGAAAUAAGGAUAAGCAGAGAGAAUGAGGAGUGACACCUAAGGACCUUGGUCAAAGUGAAACAUUCAUGGGGGUUCUGGCUGUGAGAAACAUCCUGCCUAACACCUGCCUACAAGUCAGACAAAGGCCCAACUAAAGAAAUAUCCCUAUCAUAUUCUGUUGGGAGAAAGUGCAAAGAAACACCAUGUUCCACCAGAAAAAGGGCCAGAACUGCCUCAUCAUGGGAACAUCUUAUCAAUAUCCUGCUGAGCAGCAAGCCAUAUGGCCCAGACCCCUCCCGCUCAAACCUUUAAGUACCCCAGCCUGUAAGUGGAGGUGGGCUCUGGCAUUAAGCUGGUCUCCCACUUCCAUAGGUGUCUGCAAUAUACUUGUAUUGCUGUUUGA
rnacentral:lncRNA from 1 species